AAGACAUCAUAUUCAAAGUCCGGGUUUGAAGAAGAAGAAGAAGAAGAAGGAGGUAAAGAAGAGAGAUGCGAUUGGUAUGUCGGAAACUUCCCCUGCUUGGAUUUCAUUAGAGGAUUUGCCAUCUAAGUUUCAGAUCGAAAACCAACAACAUCUCCCCCUCACAAAUUCUUUGCUAAUGCUCGCACAUCUUUUAAAUCUACAGCAAAAUUCUUAUGAUUCAUAAAGUAGUGGAGAAACGUUGCCAUUGCCAGCAGCAGUAGCAUCAGGACAUUAAUGGAACUUCCGAUAAUCUGCCAUUGCUGGAACUUCCUAAUUGAUGUGUUCAAGUUGGUUUGUUUUCUUUUCUUUUAUGAAUUUGCCCAUGUGGAUGUAUUCAUAUUUGCCUAUGAGUGAAACCCAGUUCUAUGUGCUUUUAUUUACUCUCUUUUUGUUCAUUUGCCCCUUUACUCUGUCAAGGAAUUAGCAUUUUGGUUGUAAAAAUGAUGUUGAGUUUUACAGUUCAUUUAGCGAGGAGUGCAAAAGGUAUGUGGAACUGUCAAUUUUGCUUACAAUUGUGAUAUUAUUUUAUAAUUUCUAUUUACUAAA